GACGAACGCUGGCGGCGUGCUUAACACAUGCAAGUCGAACGGAAAGGCCCCUUUGGGGGUACUCGAGUGGCGAACGGGUGGGUAACACGUGAGUAACCUGCCCUUGACUUCGGGAUAACUUCAGGAAACUGGGGCUAAUACCGGAUAGGAAUCCUUGCUGCAUGGAGGGGGUUGGAAAGCUUCGGCGGGUUUGGAUGGACUCGCGGCUUAUCAGCUUGUUGGUGGGGUAGUGGCUUACCAAGGCUUUGACGGGUAGCCGGCCUGGGGGGGAGACCGGCCACAUUGGGGCUGAGAUACGGCCCAGACUCCUACGGGGGGCAGCCGUGGGGAAUAUUGCACAAUGGGCGGGAGCCUGAUGCAGCAACGCCGCGUGCGGGAGGACGGCCUUCGGGUUGGAAACCGCUUUCAGCAGGGGCGAAGCUUGUGGUGACGGUACCUGCAGAAGAAGCACCGGCUAACUACGUG
rnacentral:rRNA from 1 species